rnacentral:rRNA from 1 species
CACUAUUAAAGGUCCAUCCUGCCCAGUGACAUAAGUUUAACGGCCGCGGUACCCUGACCGUGCUAAGGUAGCAUAAUCAUUUGCCUUUUAAUUGGAGGCUUGUAUGAACGGACACACGAAAACGCAACUUUCUUAUCGAGGAAAAUAAAAAUUAACCUUCAAGUGAAGAGACUUGAGUAUCAUAAAAAGACGAAAAGACCCUAUGGAGCUUUACUUAAAUUAUUAAACCACAAAUAAAAAAAGCUUUUUUUACUAAAAAAGUUUAGUUGGGGCGACUAAGGAGCACACAUCACCCUCCUACUGACAAAAGACUCUAAAUCUACAAAAGAUCCACAAACGUGAAUAAAAACCCAGCUACCCUAGGGAUAACAGGCUAAUCCUCCUUAAGAGCUCAAAUUGACAGGAGGGCUUGGCACCUCGAUGUUGGCUUAAGAUCUCUACUAAGUGCAGCAGCUUAGGUAGUAGGUUUGUUCAACCUUUAAAAUCUUACGUGAUC